UGCCCAGCAACUCCUAUCCCGACCUCCUCGCGGUACCGGCCGGAAACUAUGAGCAACCUUAGGGAAGCUCGGGUAACCAACCCCAGUGGGAGCUUUGGUCGUAGGCUGACAGGGAAGG
rnacentral:ribozyme from 1 species